GACGAACGCUGGCGGCGUGCCUAACACAUGCAAGUUGAGCGACGAACCAGGGCUUGCCCUGGGGCAAAGCAGCGAACGGAUGAGUAACACGUGGGUAACCUACCCCGAUAACCGGGACAACCCGAGGAAACUCGGGCUAAUACCGGAUGUGCUCACUGGACUUCGGUUCAGUGCGUAAAGGAAGCUUCGGCCUCCGUAUCGGGAGGGGCCCGCGGCCCAUUAGUUUGUUGGUGAGGUAACGGCUCACCAAGACCGCGAUGGGUAGCUGGUCUGAGAGGACGAUCAGCCACACUGGGACUGAGACACGGCCCAGACUCCUACGGGAGGCAGCAGUGGGGAAUCUUGCGCAAUGCGCGAAAGCGUGACGCAGCAACGCCGCGUGGGGGAAGAAGGCCUUCGGGUUGUAAACCCCUUUCAGGAGGGACGAAGGUUCGGCGGUGAAUAGCCGUCCGGACUGACGGUACCUCCACAAGAAGCCCCGGCUAACUACGUG
rnacentral:rRNA from 1 species